UGCAGGUCGCAGGGAGCCAGGCCUGGCGGGCUGGGUGUGUCGCGAUGCCAGAGCUGGCGGUGCAGAAGGUGGUGGUCCACCCCCUGGUGCUGCUCAGUGUGGUGGAUCAUUUCAGCCAAAUCGGCAAGGUCGGAAAUCAGAAGCGUGUUGUUGGUGUGCUUUUGGGGUCAUGGCAAAAGAAAAUACUUGAUGUAUCCAACAGUUUUGCGGUACCUUUUGAUGAAGAUGACAAAGAUGAUUCUGUCUGGUUUUUAGACCAUGAUUAUUUGGAAAACAUGUAUGGGAUGUUUAAGAAGGUCAAUGCCAGAGAAAGAAUAGUUGGGUGGUACCACACAGGCCCUAAACUACACAAGAAUGACAUCGCCAUCAAUGAACUCAUGAAAAGACACUGUCCCAACUCAGUACUGGUCAUUAUUGAUGUGAAGUCGAAGGACCUGGGGCUGCCCACAGAAGCAUAUAUUUCAGUGGAAGAAGUUCAUGAUGAUGGAACUCCAACCUCAAAAACAUUCGAGCACGUGACCAGUGAAAUUGGAGCAGAGGAAGCCGAGGAAGUUGGAGUCGAACACUUGUUACGAGACAUCAAAGACACUAUAGUGGGCACUCUGUCCCAGCGGAUCACAAACCAAGUGCGUGGUUUGAAGGGACUGAACUCCAAGCUUCUGGACAUCAGGAGCUUCCUGGAUAAAGUAGCCACAGGCAAGCUGCCCAUCAACAACCAGAUCAUCUGCCAGCUGCAGGACGUCUUCAACCUGCUGCCAGACGUCAGCCUGCAGGAGUUCGUCAAGGCCUUUUACCUGAAGACCAACGACCAGAUGGUGGUGGUGUACUUGGCCUCGCUGAUCCGUUCCGUGGUUGCCCUGCACAACCUCAUCAACAACAAGAUCGCCAACCGGGAUGCUGAGAAGAAAGAAGGGCAGGAAAAGGAAGAGAGCAAAAAGGAUAGAAAAGAUGACAAAGAGAAAGAUAAAGAUAAGGAAAAGAGUGACGUGAAGAAAGAAGAGAAAAAGAAAAAACGUGUAGCUUUUUUUAAUUUGUAAAUUAAAAUCUUAUGA